rnacentral:rRNA from 1 species
CUAUAAUCGAUAACCCACGCUAAACCUCACCUGCCUUUGCACCAAUCAGCCUAUAUACCUCCGUCGCCAGUACGCCUGCUAACAGCUGCCAAAGCGCAUAAACCAGCCAACCCCUCACACGACAGGUCAAGGUGUAGCUAAUAGGUUGGACAGAGAUGGGCUACAUUUUCCUCGCUGGAAAACACCCACCGUGCCAUGCAAACCGCACAACAAGGCGGAUUUAGCAGUAAAGGGGGCAAGACAUGCCCACUUGAAGCUUGCCAUGAG